GUCUCCUCCCUCCCCAUCCUCCAGCCAGGCUGCAGACAAGGCUCUGCAUUCCUCCCCACCCCAGCAGGGGUUCUCCUUGAGGCUCUAGCUUGCAGGAGGGACAUUGGCUGAG